rnacentral:lncRNA from 1 species
GACAGCUCAAGACCUUUCCUUCUCUGAGGUACGAGGUCGUGGGAGCCCAUGCACAGCUUGGGGCUUUGAGCACCUCCUCUGGGGGACCUCCACGGGGACCAGGACCCACCUGAAGGUGCAGCCUGGGGAUGUGCCUUGAAGAACCAUCAAGGCAGCUGGAAAAACACCGGGGUCGGAGGGUAGCGUGUGGACGGCCAGAUGGUUUUCAUCCUAUUGGUGAUGGGACUCAGGACGCCAGGGAGCAGAUGGAGACCCAACGCUUUGAGAGGUAAUUCAGGUAAUGCAAAUCAGGAAGUGGUGGUGGGCUGAUCUGCUGCUUGCGGGAUACUGAAGAGACCCCGUGCUCGUUCCUGGCUCUGGAUGUCUGUCCUGGAUGCAUCGUGUCCUUCCCAAGACCCGCCUGUCCAACUUUGGACUGCCUCCUCCUCUUCUAAGGUGGCUUCAUGUUUGCAUGGCACCCUGUGGCUUACAGCCCCUACCCCAUCCGUCACCCUGUUUGAUCCCCGAGGUCCCCAUGAGGCCGGCUCCAGGGAGACCAUGAUCAACCUGUCCUGCUGGGGGGCCCUGGAGGCGACAGACAGGACAGAGACCCAGGACUCCUUGGGUUGAUCACCCAUUCGUGCAUCAAAG